UGACCUGGAACCUCAUCCAAAGCUCACUGAAGUCAGUGGGAAUCUUUCCACUGACUCCAGAAGGCUUUGGAUCAGAUCUCUUUCUA
rnacentral:pre_miRNA from 1 species